UACGUAGGGGGCAAGCGUUGUCCGGAAUCAUUGGGCGUAAAGAGCGUGUAGGCGGCCCGAUAAGUCCGCUGUGAAAGUCCAGGGCUCAACCCUGGGAUGCCGGUGGAUACUGUCGGGCUCGAGUCCGGAAGAGGAGUGUGGAAUUCCUGGUGUAGCGGUGAAAUGCGCAGAUAUCAGGAAGAACACCCGUGGCGAAGGCGGUUCUCUGGGACGGUACUGACGCUGAGACGCGAAAGCGUGGGGAGCGAACAGG
rnacentral:rRNA from 1 species